UACGUAGGGGGCAAGCGUUGUCCGGAAUCAUUGGGCGUAAAGCGCGUGUAGGCGGCCAGAAAAGUCCGCUGUGAAAACUCGAGGCUCAACUUCGAGCUGUCGGUGGAAACUUUCUGGCUAGAGUCCGGAAGAGGAGAAUGGAAUUCCUGGUGUAGCGGUGAAAUGCGUUGAUAUUCGCAAGAACACCAGUGGCGAAGGCGGCUCACUGGCCCGUAACUGACGCUGAGGCACGAAAGCGUGGGGAGCAAACAGG
rnacentral:rRNA from 1 species